GCCAAGGGUGACAGUGGUAAAGAAAAACUCCUUAGAGCAUGAGGAAGAAAGCUUGAGAGGAACCAAGACUCAACGGGGGGCCGUCCUCCCCUGGCUGACAGUGGACACCACAAUAGUAACAGUAUGGAACCGCAGGCAUGAGGGCACCCUGGAACAUCAGCACUCCGCUGCAAACUCCAGGGACAAAAGAGAGGAAAGGAGAGCAGCGCUCUCCCUGCUAGGAUGGACACCAUCCCACCCUCAAAGGCCAGGCUUGUCCUUACAUGUGUUCCGAUUAUCUAUAAACCCCACAUUGUUUUGUCAGCACCACUUGGACAGCCAGCAGUUCAGCGAAGAUAACCGGCUGUAUGUUAUAGCGCUGGGCUGCAUUGAGAUGGGACCACAGCGUACUACAGCAUUGGACAUGGCCUUUGCUAACUGACAAAUUUAAUAUAAGGGCUUUUCCUAAACAGACAAAAUCAUUACAGACUAGACAUCAUAAUCUAUUCAUUAAAAUCUAUACAUCAUAAAAUAUAAAUUCUACACUAUAUAUUAUAAUCUGUAUUUUAUAUAAUCUACAUUAUGAACUAUGCAUUAUAAUCUAUACAUUGUAAACUACAUUUCUAAUCUGUAAAUGAUAGACUACACAUAAAAUAUAAUGAUAAUCUAAUAUACAAUAUACAUUAUAGACAGUAUGAACUAUACUUUGUGCAAUAUAUUCUAUACAUUAAAGACUAUACAUUAUAAUAUUGUUUAAGAAUAAAUACUCCUAGUUUCUUACUGUAAUAGUUUACUGUAAAUUUUACAGGGGUCCUCUGUCUAAGUGCUAUUUCGGUUUUGACCAUGUUUGACCUCUUUUGACAUUUUAACAAUGCGUGAUGAAAUCCCUACCGGAUAUCCAGCAGUUCAGUGUAAGUGUGGAUUAAGUGCUCUGAGAAAUAUAUCCUGUCUCCUUUAAA